AAAGUCGUAACAAGGUUUCCGUAGGUGAACCUGCGGAAGGAUCAUUAACCAUAUGAACGCAGGUGGGGGUCAACAGCUGUACUUGUACGUCUGCCCUGCCUGUCCUAAUAUCUACCCAUGUCUUUUGCGCACUCUUUGUUUCCUUGGUGGGUUCGCCCACCAAUAGGACAUUAUUAAAAAACCUUUUGUACUUGCAAUCAGCGUCAGAAAAAAACUUAAUAGUUACAACUUUCAACAACGGAUCUCUUGGUUCUG
rnacentral:misc_RNA from 1 species